rnacentral:rRNA from 1 species
AGCGAACGCUGGCGGCAGGCUUAACACAUGCAAGUCGAACGGGCGUAGCAAUACGUCAGUGGCAGACGGGUGAGUAACGCGUGGGAACGUACCUUUUGGUUCGGAACAACCCAGGGAAACUUGGGCUAAUACCGGAUAAGCCCUUACGGGGAAAGAUUUAUCGCCGAAAGAUCGGCCCGCGUCUGAUUAGCUAGUUGGUGUGGUAACGGCGCACCAAGGCGACGAUCAGUAGCUGGUCUGAGAGGAUGAUCAGCCACAUUGGGACUGAGACACGGCCCAAACUCCUACGGGAGGCAGCAGUGGGGAAUAUUGGACAAUGGGCGCAAGCCUGAUCCAGCCAUGCCGCGUGAGUGAUGAAGGCCCUAGGGUUGUAAAGCUCUUUUGUGCGGGAAGAUAAUGACGGUACCGCAAGAAUAAGCCCC